rnacentral:lncRNA from 1 species
GUAUUUAUAGGCUUUGGAAUGCCUAGAAGCCCUCAAAAUUAGCCUUUUCCGAAUUGGACUCAACUUGGGCUCGGCAGUGACACGCCCUUGGCACACGCCCGUGUUCGAUUACUUCAAGCUGUGCUUGAGCCUACCAAAUUGACAUGGUUGUGUGGUUUGCCCGUGUGAGGAGGUCCAGGCUGUGUUGAUUUGGUACCUUAGCCCAUUUUCUCCAUUUUUGGCCC